rnacentral:lncRNA from 1 species
GGCUCUUUCAGGCAAUGGGUUAAUAAUCAUCAAACUGAGUAAGAUCCCCACUCUCCUAGAACUUACAUACCAGUGAAGGGAGAGUUUAAGAAAACAAGGAGAGGUAAACCCUAGAGUGCUGUAUACCUACCAAGUGUGGAUUUUAGGGUGUGUAAAUUUCAUCCCAAUAAAGGUUAAAAAAGAAAAAGCCUUGGCCCACACUGGCCUUUGGGUUUGCCCAGAUACAGUUGACCCUCUGCCUGCCUCUUGUGUGCAUAGUGCUGCUGGCUGACACAUGUCUAACCCCGAAGCCCAUCUCCUGGAGAUUUGGGGUCAUUUGGGGACAUACACAGGGCAGUGGGACGUUUGGUUCACCCGACUAGCACAGCCCCAGCUGAAGGGGAGCCAGGCGACCCUCUGCCACCUGUUGCAGCUCCUGCUGUGAGUAAGCGGCCUUUUUGCCAUCUAUUUAGUGUCACGUUCUUUCAUCUUUGUGCUUUUUUUUUUUUUUUGUGACUUAGCUGCUUAAGAUGGCCCUGAUGUAUGGUGCUGGGCGUCGUCUUGGGAUCCUGAGCCCCGGAAGGUUGCCAUGGGCCUGGCUGAGACCCCUCAGGCCACAGUGUCAUUAGCCUCUUCAAGGUUCAUGCUUCAACAAGUGUGUUACAUUUGGCGUCUCACGUAAACCAAGAUUCCGCAUUCAUCGGUUGAUGGAGCUGUUGUGACCAGAGGCCUGUAGAAACCUAACCCCGUGUUCCCCUAGGAGCAGUGGUCCAGUGUCACUAGGGUCAUGGUGACUUCCCAGAAUGGAGUGACUGUGAUUCAUCUUCUGCCCUAUUGUGUUAACUCCUGUGUCAAUAGCUGUUUCCCUUAAUUCGGGAUAUAACCUCUUGCGUAGGACAGUGUUCCUUCAUGCACCAUUUUAGUGGGUGUGUGUGUAUCUGAGUUGGGGCAAAUUGAGACAAAAACACAGCGUUUUUCCUUUUUUUUUUUUUUGUCUUUUCUAGAGCCAUACCCGAGGCAUAUGGAGGUUCCCAGGCUAGGGGUCUAAUCAGAGCUGUAGCUGCCAACCUACACCAGGGCCACAGAAACACCAGAUCCAAGCCGAGUCUGCAACCUACACCACAGCUCACAGCAACGCCAGAUCCUUAACCCACUGAGCAAGGUCAGGGAUUGAACCUGCAACCUCAUGGUUCCUAGUCGGAUUCGUUAACCACUGAGCCACAAUGGGAACUCCCAGCUUUCUUCCUUUAAUUGAAGUAUAGUUGAUUCACAAUGUUAUAUUAGUUUCAGGUGUACAGCAAAGUAAUACAGUUAUACAUUAUAUUUCUUUAGAUUAUUUUCCAUUACAGGUUAUUAUAAGAUAUCGAGUUCCUUGUGUUAUACAGUAGGUCCUUGUUGUUUAUUUACUAUAUAUCUAUAAUUAUAGUAGAGUGUAUCUGCUAAUCCCACACUCCUAAUUUAUCUCCCCCCCCUUUUCCCUUUGGUAACCAUAAGUUUGUGUUCUGUGUCUAAAAACACAGCUUUUUAAUUUGUUUGAAACAGACUUUCUGCCUGUUACAUUUUGUGCAUUUAACCUGUGAAGCCCAUGGCAUUUUCAGUUUUAUCUUGCCAGGUUUCCCACUAGUAAAUCCCUCUUGAUUCAUUUGUGCCCUUUGAUAUUUUCUAAAAUUUUUUUCAAUAGCAAGAAUAAAGAUAUAAAGAAAAAAAGUCCGUACAUCUGUAUACACUCUCACAGAGAGCCCAUUGUAUUUAGGUGAGCAUUUAGUGUUCAGUCUUAGGGGUAACCUUAUAGGAAAUAGUGGAAGCACUAUAAGUGUAAGAUGUUUUCGUGGCAUAACCAUUUAUCUCUGUGUUAACAUCAGUAAACAAAAGAUUGACCUACACGUUUUCUAUGUCUCCAUACUUUGAAUACUUUCAUGUACACUAAGUAGAUGUGUGCCUUAGUCUGUAUGUUCUUGAAACCACUAUUUGAUUCAGAGAGCCAAAAAAAAAAAAAGUGAUUUAAAUGGUAUUUAAUAAGUUGCCGUUCUUUUACUAAGUGAAGUCAGGAAGAGAAAGACAAAUACCAUACGAUAUCACUUAUAUGUGGAAUCUAAAGUAUGACACCGAUGAAUUCAUUUGCAAAACAGAAACAGACUCACAGACAUAGAAAGUAAACUUAGGGUUACCAAAGAGGAAAGGUGGAGAGGGAUAAAUUAGGCGUUUGGGAUUAGCAGAUACAGACGACUCUGUAUAAAAUAGCUAAGGUCCUACUGCAGAGCACAUGGAACGGUAUUCAUUAUCCUGUAAUAAACCAUAAUGGAAAAAAAUAUGUAUAACUGAAUCCAUUUGUUGUACACCAGAAACUAACAUACCAUCGUAAAUCCACUGUACUCCAAUUAACAAUUUUUCAAAAAGUUGUAGCUCUUUUACCAUUUUUUCACUCUUUAAUCCCUUGUGUUAAGUGGUAUCAACACAGUUGAAGUUAUACUGUCAGAGUAAAAUGAAGUAAGUUCCAAGUGGAUACAAGCAUAGGAAAAGCUCUCAGAAUUGUCCCCACGACAUGUGGAGGGAGACGUGAUUCAGGCUGGCAAGAGGAUGGAAGACCAAGAACACUGGGUGAAAUUCGUUUUUUACGUGUUUCUGAGUUGUUUCUGUUUUUUUAUACAAGACGUGUGUCUCUUGAAGUGAAAAUAAAAACUGACUUACAGCGUAAGCUGAUUAAAUGAAAUGAGUUUUGUGGAGGACACGGACCUGGCGGGAGGGACCUGCUUUGUGAGGCUGGGGGGCGCGGAUGUCCCCCACGGGCCUCUCGGGCUGGGCUGCCCGUGGCUGCUCUGGGGAGCCUGGCUGCCCACCGAUGCCCGCAGGGGGCAGGGUUAAUUGACUGGGGGUGGCUCCCCCAGGGGUUUUGACGUGCAGCCAGGAUUGGACUCCAGUGCUCUGAUGUAUCUUAGGAAUGUAUUCUGGGCCAGCUUCAGGAGCCUGUCUGGGGGCUCACACAGUUGGUGGGGGGGUGGGUCUGUGCUCCAGGAUGGGGCCGUGGGAACACCAUCGGAAGAGUCUGGUAGGCACACGACACUGACCAGCUUUUCUUCCAUCCUCCUCCAAGACGCAGUGCCCAGGAGAGGGUGUUGGAUGGGCUGGGGAGAGGGUCUGGCCCCUUCCCUCCUCCCAGGAGGAUGGUGGUCACGAGUGAUACAGUGAUACUCCCCUGCUUGUCCCCCAGCCACAUAACUGGGGAGAGGUGUCUCAGGAAAUCCUGGAGCUGUUGGGAAAGGGCGGGGGGUGCAGGUCAGUCAGAGCCCACAGAGGUCUGCUUUACUCCACCAACUUAAAAGACGAGUGUUUCCUGAAUGAAAUGGAGAGAUUGUGCCUUGAGCAUGGUACAGUGUGUGGUAAACGUUCUCUCCUUGCCUCCCUGCCUGCCUUCCAUUUCAUCCAGCUUCCUCUGACCCUCCCUCCUAGGGGUUGUCAGCCCCAGAAGACGAGAUUGGCUCCAAGGAUUCGUGGCACACAGUGUAGAGUUAGGUAGUGGGUCCAGGAUGGCGCUUGAGGGUGGAGUUCAGGCAUGGAGAGAUCAGGCUGGGGUGUGGGUGGUGGGGGCUUCAUGGAGGGCUCUGGUGUUAGCAGCCAGUAGGUGUUGAGGCAUGACUGUGGGUGACCAGUGGGCGAACUAGAGGAUAGCUCAGUGAUGGCCCUGGAGUGGCCCCACUAGAGAAAGGAAGCAGAUGUGGGUUGGGGAUGCAGGCCAGAGCAGACUCCGCCUUUAUUUUUUAUUAAAAGUAUGGUUGAUUUACAGUGUUGUGCCAGUACAGCAAAGUGAGCCAGUCAUACAUGUAUACCCUCUUUUUCUCAUAAUCCAUCAUGUUCCAUCACAGGAGACUGGAUAUGACUCCCUGUGCUAUAUACAGUAGGACCUCAUUGCUUAUCCAUUCUAAAUGUAAUACUUUACAUCUGCCAACCCCAAACUCCCAGUCCAUCCCACUUCCUAUCCCCUCCCCCUUGACAACCACACGUCUCUUCUCCAUGUCCGUGAGUCUGUUUCUGUUUUGCAUAUGGGAUCAUUUGUGCCAUAUUUUAAAUUCCACAUAUAAGUGGUAUCAUAUGCUGUUUGUCUUUCUCUUUCUGACUUCACUUAGUUUGAGAAUCUCUAGUUCCAUCCAUGUUGCUGUCAAUGGCAUUAUUUUGUUCUUUUUAAUGGCUGGGUAGUAUUCCAUUGUGUAUAUAUACCACAUCUUCCUAAUCCAUUCAUCAGUCAAUGGACAUUUAGGUUGUUUCCAUGUCUUGACUAUUGUGAAUAGUGCUGCAGUAAACACAUGUCUUGACUAUUGUGAAUAGUGCUGCAAUAAACACAUGUAUCUUUUUGAAUUGUGAUUUUGUCUGGAUAUAUGCCUAGGAGUAGGAUUUCUGGAUCAUAUGGUAGCUCUGUAUUUAGUUUUCUGAGGAACCUCCAUACUGUUCUCCAUAGUGGUUGUACCUGCUUACAUUCCCACCAACAGUGCAGGAGGGUUCCCUUUUCUCCACACCCCCUCCGGCGUUUGCUAUUUGUGGACGUAUUAAUGAUGGCCAUUCUGACUGGUGUGAGGUGGUACCUCAUUGUAGUUUUGAUUUGCAUUUCUCUCAUAAGUAGUGAUGUUCAGACUCUGCUUUUGAUUUUGCAUUUGGGUAGUUACUUGGAAGGGUGCGAGGCUCAAUGAGGCAGCACCAUUCCUGACAUCAAGGAGUGCUCCUGGGAGCUCCCGGCGUGGCGCAGCAGAAGUGAAUCUGACUGGCAUCCACGAGGACGAAGCUUCAAUCCCUGGCCUUGCUUAGUGGGUUGAUGAUCCAGUGUUGCUGCGAGCUGUGGUGUAGGUGGAAGACGAGGCUCAGAUCCAGCGUUGCUGUGAGCUGUGGUGUAGGCC